AUGUUGUCCAUGUGCGUCACUGCAGCUGUGGCCGGUGUCCUACCUCGAAGGGCAGGGCUGGUCUCCAAAAAUGCUCUGGGGACAUCCUUCAUUGGUUCAAGAAAUCUCCAUGCCUCUAAUACUCAACUUCAGAAUACUGCCACUGCUGAGAUGUCUUCCAUUCGUGAAGAGCAGAUUCUUGGAGCUGACACAUCUGUUGACCUCAAAGAGACUGGGCGUGUCUUAAGUAUUGGUGAUGGUAUUGCCCGAGUACAUGGGCUGAGGAAUAUUCAAACAGAGGAAAUGGUAGAAUUUUCUUCAGGCUUAAAGGGUAUGUCCCUGAACUUGGAACCUGACAAUAUUGGAGUUGUCAUGUUUGGAAAUGAUAAGCUAAUUAAAGAAGGUGAUAUUGUGAAGAGAACGGGAGCCAUUGCAGAUGUUCCAGUUGGUGAGGAACUGUUGGGCCAUGUCGUUGAUGCCUUUGGUAAUGCCAUUGAUGGAAAGGGUCCAGUUUGUUCCAAGACCUGUAGACAAGUAGACCUCAAAGCCCCUGAAAUCAUUCUCCAAAUCUCAGUGCUGUAACCAAUGCAGACUGGCACUGAGGCUGUGGUCAGCAUGAGGUUAUUAUUGGUGAUAGACAGACUGGGAAAACAUCAAUUGCUGUCAACACAAUCAUCAACCAGAAACUUCUCAUUGAUGGAAAGAAGAAGCUGUACUGUAUCUAUGUUGCUAUUGAUCAGAAAUGGCCCACUGUUGUCCAGUUGGUGAAGAGACUGACAGAUGCAGAUGCCAUGAAGAACACCACUGUGGUGCCAGCUUCUGCUUCUGAUGCUGCUCCACUCAGUAUUUGGCUCCUUAUACUGGUUGCACCAUGGGAGAAUAUUUUAGAGAUAAUGGCAUGCAUGCUUUGAUCAUCUAUGAUGAUUUAUCCAAACAGGCUGUGGCUUACCGCCAGAUGUCUCUCUUGUUGUGCCAACCCUCUGGUCGUGAAGCCUGUCCUGAAGAUGUGUUUUACCUGCACACUUGGCUGCUGAUGAGAGCAGCCAAGCUGAAUGAUUCUUUUUGUGGUGGCUCUUUGACUGCCUUACCAGUCACAGAAACCCAGGCUGGUGAUGUGUCCACUUACAUUCCAACAAAUGUUAUUUUAUCACUGAUGGACAGAUCUUCUUGGAAACAGAAUUGUUCUAUAAAGGCAUUUACCCUUCCAUUAAUGUGGGUUUGUCUGUAUCUCAGUCAUGUCAGAUCUGCUGCCAGACCAGGGCCAUGAGAUAGGUGGCGGGUACCAUGAAGCUGGAGUUGGCUCAGUAUCAGGAGGUUGCUGCAACUCAUGGUGUGUGUCUGACUGAGUUGUUAAAGUAAGGGCAGUACCCUCCCAUGGCUAUUAAAGGACAUGUGGCUGUUAUCUGUGCAGGUGUGAGGGGUUAUCUUGAUAAACUGGAUCCCAAUAAGAUCACAAAGUUUAAGAAUGUUUUGUUUCAUGUUAUCAGCCAGCAUCAGUCCCUCUUGGACAAUAUCAGAACUGACAGGAAAAAUCUCAAAGCAAUCAGAUGCAAAGCUGAAAGAGAUUGUAACAAACUUCUUGGCUGGUUUUGAACCAUAAAGCCCCAUGAAUCCAUGUCAGACACUGCUUUGGUUUUGUCAUUUAUUCUGGUAAAAUCAGCUCCAUUUGUAAAGGAUUGCCCUCAGAUGGAAGAG